rnacentral:rRNA from 1 species
GUGGGGAAUAUUGGGCAAUGGGCGCAAGCCUGACCCAGCAACGCCGCGUGAAGGAAGAAGGCUUUCGGGUUGUAAACUUCUUUUACCAGGGACGAAAAAAAUGACGGUACCUGGAGAAUAAGCCACGGCUAACUACGUGCCAGCAGCCGCGGUAAUACGUAGGUGGCAAGCGUUGUCCGGAUUUACUGGGUGUAAAGGGCGCGUAGGCGGGAGAGCAAGUCAGGAGUGAAAUCUAUGGGCUUAACCCAUAAAUUGCUUUUGAAACUGUUUUUCUUGAGUGAUGGAGAGGCAAGCGGAAUUCCUAGUGUAGCGGUGAAAUGCGUAGAUAUUAGGAGGAACACCAGUGGCGAAGGCGGCUUGCUGGACAUUAACUGACGCUGAUGCGCGAAAGCGUGGGGAGCAAACAGGAUUAGAUACCCGAGUAGUCC